rnacentral:rRNA from 1 species
AGAGUCUUGGAGGUAGAGCACUGAUUGAGUGAGGGGCCCCCACAGGGUUACCGAGUUCAGUCAAACUCCGAAUGCCAACGACUUAUCUACGGGAGUCAGACGGCGAGUGAUAAGAUCCGUCGUCGAAAGGGAAACAGCCCAGACCACCAGCUAAGGUCCCCAAGUAUACGUUAAGUGGCAAAGGAUGUGGCGUUGCUUAGACAACCAGGAUGUUGGCUUAGAAGCAGCCACCAUUCAAAGAGUGCGUAAUAGCUCACUGGUCGAGUGGCGCCGCGCCGAAAAUGUAACGGGGCUAAACGUAUCACCGAAGCUGUGGAUGACUUAUGGUCAUGGUAGGGGAGCGUUCUAAGGGCAGAGAAGGUAGACCGGAAGGUCUAUUGGAGCGCUUAGAAGUGAGAAUGCCGGUAUGAGUAACGAAAAGAGGGGUGAGAAUCCCCUCCGUCGAAAGCCUAAGGGUUCCUGAGGAAGGUUCGUCCGCUCAGGGUUAGUCGGGACCUAAGCCGAGGCCGGAAGGCGUAGGCGAUGGACAACAGGUGGAUAUUCCUGUACCACCUGACGGUGUUUGAGUGAUGGAGUGACGCAGGAAGGCAAGGUCAGCGCGCUGUUGGUUAUGCGCGUCCAAGCUGUAAGGCUGAUGGUGAGGCAAAUCCCGCCAUCUUAAGGCUGAGCAGUGAUGGGGAGGGAAUUAAAGUACCGAAGGACCUGCACCUACACUGCCAAGAAAAGCUUCUAGCAAAUCGUCAGGUGCCCGUACCCCAAACCGACACAGGUAGGCGAGGAGAGCAUCCUAAGACGCUCGGGAGAACUCUUGUUAAGGAACUCGGCAAAAUGACCCCGUAACUUCGGGAGAAGGGGUGCUCCUCUGGGUGAAUAGCCCGGAGAAGCCGCAGUGAAAAGAUCCAAGCGACUGUUUAGCAAAAACACAGGUCUCUGCAAAACCGAAAGGUGAAGUAUAGGGGCUGACACCUGCCCGGUGCUGGAAGGUUAAGAGGAGGAGUUAUCCCUUACGGGAGAAGCCCCGAAUCGAAGCCCCAGUAAACGGCGGCCGUAACUAUAACGGUCCUAAGGUAGCGAAAUUCCUUGUCGGGUAAGUUCCGACCCGCACGAAAGGUGCAACGACUUGGAUACUGUCUCAACAAGAGACCCGGUGAAAUUAUAGUACCUGUGAAGAUGCAGGUUACCCGCGACAGGACGGAAAGACCCCAUGGAGCUUUACUACAGCUUGAUAUUGGAUGUCUGUAUCGAUUGUACAGGAUAGGUCGGAGCCAGAGAAACCGGACCGCUAGGUUCGGUGGAGGCGCCGGUGGGAUACGACCCUUUCGAUAUGGACAUUCUAACCCAGUACCGUGAUCCGGUACGGAGACAGUGUCAGGUGGGUAGUUUGACUGGGGCGGUCGCCUCCUAAAAGGUAACGGAGGCGCCCAAAGGUUCCCUCAGAAUGGUUGGAAAUCAUUCGCAGAGUGUAAAGGCACAAGGGAGCUUGACUGCGAGACCUACACGUCGAGCAGGGACGAAAGUCGGGCUUAGUGAUCCGGUGGCACCGCAUGGAAGGGCCAUCGCUCAACGGAUAAAAGCUACCCUGGGGAUAACAGGCUGAUCUCCCCCAAGAGUCCACAUCGACGGGGAGGUUUGGCACCUCGAUGUCGGCUCAUCGCAUCCUGGGGCUGAAGUAGGUCCCAAGGGUUGGGCUGUUCGCCCAUUAAAGCGGUACGCGAGCUGGGUUCAGAACGUCGUGAGACAGUUCGGUCCCUAUCCGUCGUGGGCGUAGGAAAUUUGAGAGGCGCUGUCCUUAGUACGAGAGGACCGGGAUGGACACACCGCUGGUGUACCAGUUGUUCCGCCAGGAGCAUCGCUGGGUAGCUACGUGUGGAAGGGAUAAGUGCUGAAAGCAUCUAAGCAUGAAGCCCCCCUCAAGAUGAGAUUUCCCAUGAUCUUGAAUCAGUAAGACCCCUCAGAGAUGAUGAGGUUGAUAGGUCCGAGGUGGAAGUGUGGUGACACAUGGAGCUGACGGAUACUAAUCGGUCGAGGACUUAACCAC